rnacentral:tRNA from 1 species
GAGGGUACAGCUCAGUGGUAGAGCGUGUGCUUAGCAUGCACAAGGUCCUGGGUUCAGUCCCCAGCACCUCCU